rnacentral:snRNA from 13 species
AUAAUUGUAAGCCUUUUGGCUAAGAUCAAAGUGUAGUACUAUUUCCGUAGGGAGUCCAGUAGAUUAAAGUGAUUUUGGGAAAUGUCGGAGUGCUAGGGGCUUUUGCUCCACCUGUGUCGCGGGUUGACCCGGUAUUACAGCAUCUCCGGGAACGACCCCAAAAAA